rnacentral:rRNA from 1 species
GAUGAACGCUGGCGGCGUGCUUAUCACAUGCAAGUCGAACGGAAAGGCCCAAGCUUGCUUGGGUACUCGAGUGGCGAACGGGUGAGUAACACGUGGGUGAUCUGCCCUGCACUUCGGGAUAAGCCUGGGAAACUGGGUCUAAUACCGGAUAGGACGAUGGUUUGGAUGCCAUUGUGGAAAGUUUUUUCGGUGUGGGAUGAGCUCGCGGCCUAUCAGCUUGUUGGUGGGGUAAUGGCCUACCAAGGCGUCGACGGGUAGCCGGCCUGAGAGGGUGUACGGCCACAUUGGGACUGAGAUACGGCCCAGACUCCUACGGGAGGCAGCAGUGGGGAAUAUUGCACAAUGGGCGCAAGCCUGAUGCAGCGACGCCGCGUGGGGGAUGACGGCCUUCGGGUUGUAAACUCCUUUCGCUAGGGACGAAGCGUUUUUGUGACGGUACCUGGAGAAGAAGCACCGGCUAACUACGUG